rnacentral:rRNA from 1 species
UACAGAGGGGGCAAGCGUUGUUCGGAAUUACUGGGCGUAAAGGGCGCGUAGGCGGCCCGCUAAGUCGAACGUGAAAUCCCCGGGCUCAACCCGGGAACUGCGUCCGAUACUGGAAGGCUUGAAUCCGGGAGAGGGAUGCGGAAUUCCAGGUGUAGCGGUGAAAUGCGUAGAUAUCUGGAGGAACACCGGUGGCGAAGGCGGCAUCCUGGACCGGUAUUGACGCUGAGGCGCGAAAGCUAGGGGAGCAAACGGG